UGAUAUGAUUUUGGGUUAGAUUUAGCUAACCAUGUUUCAUUUAGUUUCAACAAUUUCAACUCCAGUUUCUCAAGGAAAUACAAUAGACAUUGUUUUAAAAUAUAUUACACUUUUGAUGUCCUUUUGGUGGUUUCAAGCUAAAGUUUUAAAACAUCAUUCAGAAGAUUACAAUAUAAAAAAGCUACUCUAACAUUUCAAUGUGUAAUAUAUAUUAGUGUUUGAUGGCAACCGAGAAUUUCUUAACAUUUGAAGUCAAAUAUGAGAAAGCUAUCUAAUCUUUGCAAUUACUCACUUGCCCAGUUUUUCUUUCCUUUUCUCCUUUUCCUUUUGUGGGAGGGGAAGGGAGGCAAGAUGCCCCCAUGUGACUCUUUCACAUUUGAAUAGACUCCUUAACCGAGAUUGGUUUGGAAGAUGCUAAGAAAAUGCAUCCUAUGUCCUAAAAUUUGCAAUUUCAGGUUUAAUCUUAACAAAAUGCUUCUCCUAGGCUUGAUUUCUCACCAAUGAGUAAGUUUCCCCUUUAUUUUCCCAAAGUGAUAAAAAGCUGACCCAAAAAUAAAACUAGCAAGUCUGAAGUACUCAAGGAGACGAAGAACGUGAUCUAGACAUAUCCUUCAAAUCUAGUAACAAGUAAAUCAGGAACUUCAUGUAUAAGGUGAACCAAUUAGCAAGUCAGGCAUGGACCCUCAAGUGUUUUCUUGGAAAAAAUCAUAACUUCACCAUCCCUAUCAGCAGUACAGUGUAGACUGUCAUCAAUUUUACCUCUAUAAAAUGAUUCACUUACAUGGCAAUGAACCUAGAAAAGAAUUGAGAUAUUCAGGCCCUUCUUUAGACAGGAAGGGCAAUGGUGAAAGUAUCACUGCCAAGAUCUAUCCAAAGGAAAGAUCAACACAUUGCUUGCCCGAUAAAGCAGCUUUACAUCAAGUGCUAAUUUUGACCCCUCACCUCAAAACUGGACAUCUAUAAAAAUAUCCGUACGAAAUGCUUCCUGCUACUCCAGAAUUUGCAUGUUAGUCCAGAACUUGAUGCUCAUACCAUUUAACAGGAGAAAAAAGAAGUGGAGACCUUCAAAUGUCAUUGUUUCAUCAGUUCAGCCACCAAUGCUUGAGCCAUGAUCAAGUGCACUAUCACUAAAACUACCAACCCACUACUCACUUCCAGUACUCCUUCUCUUGAAGGCCCUUUCCUUCCAUUGCUCCUUUUUUCUUGGCAGCCUUGGCAAAGGAAUGGACCAUCCCAAGGAUGCAAUUUUCCAGGCUGCGAUAAACCAGCAUGUACAGAAAUGCCCUCACCAGGUUUCAUCUCUACCUGGCAAACCGCACAUAUGAAAAGCUUGAACAAGUUGCAUAUUGGAUAUUCUGCUUCUAANNNNNNNNNNNNNNNNNNNNNNNNNNNNNNNNNNNNNNNNNNNNNNNNNNNNNNNNNNNNNNNNNNNNNNNNNNNNNNNNNNNNNNNNNNNNAAAUGAAUUCUCUAGCAUUUUCUUCCUUACCACCGAAGGAUUUAUUAGUACACGUCGAAAGAUAACCUUCCGAUUCUCUGAUUCAAUCAAAUAUCCCAAAGGCCGAUGAAAGCCCGCCCAAUAGCAAGAAGGCUUUUUCAACGAUACUUAAUGACCAAAACAUUCAUUAAAUAUAGCAUCUACAUACAGUGUCAAUCAUUUCGGCCAAAAAUAGCCAAAAUCACUAACAAAUAUCCAGAUUGUAACUGUAACGGAUUGCUCUAGGCUAAAAGUAGCAUAUAUGAACAGGUUACUAGAAUUUAUACAAUUUCAAAUCUUUGGCUGAAACAUAUUUGUUUAGACCAAAACUACAAACAACAGUUUAUUCUCUUUAGAAAAAAUUAAAAUGGAUGUAUAGGAUAAUCUUUGCAUUGCAUAUGAAUGCAAACAAACAAAACUAAAGUUCCAAUAAUAUGACAUUAUAUAGCAAUGUUAGAGUAUUCAUUCACUUCAUCCACUUAAGUUGUCUUCACAAUUAUAUCACCCCUUCAAUGAAAUAAAUCUAAAUAAGA
rnacentral:lncRNA from 1 species